CCUACGGGAGGCAGCAGUGGGGAAUAUUGCACAAUGGGCGAAACCCUGAUGCAGCGACGCCGCGUGAGUGAAGAAGGAUUUCGGUAUGUAAAGCUCUAUCAGCAGGGAAGAAAAUGACGGUACUUGAUUAAGAAUCACCGUCGACCUACGUCCCAGCAGCCGCGGCAAUACGUAGUGGGCAAGCGUCAUCCGGAUUUACUGGGGGUAAAGGGAGCGUAGGCGGCAGCACAAGUCUGGAGUGAAAGGCCGGGGCUGAACCCCGGGACUGCAUUGGAAACUGUGCAGCUUGAGUGCGGGAGAGGUAAGUGGAAUGCCUGGUGUAGAGGUGAAAUGCGUAGAUAUUAGGAGGAACACCAGUGGCGAAGGCGGCUUGCUGGACUGUAACUGACGUUGAGGCACGAAAGCGUGGGGAGCAAACAGGAUUAGAUACCCUAGUAGUC
rnacentral:rRNA from 1 species